rnacentral:rRNA from 1 species
AUUGAACGCUGGCGGCAGGCCUAACACAUGCAAGUCGAGCGGAUGAAGGGAGCCUGCUCCUGGAUUCAGCGGCGGACGGGUGAGUAAUGCCUAGGAAUCUGCCUGGUAGUGGGGGAUAACGUCCGGAAACGGGCGCUAAUACCGCAUACGUCCUGAGGGAGAAAGUGGGGGAUCUUCGGACCUCACGCUACCAGAUGAGCCUAGGUCGGAUUAGCUAGUUGGUGGGGUAAAGGCCUACCAAGGCGACGAUCCGUAACUGGUCUGAGAGGAUGAUCAGUCACACUGGAACUGAGACACGGUCCAGACUCCUACGGGAGGCAGCAGUGGGGAAUAUUGGACAAUGGGCGAAAGCCUGAUCCAGCCAUGCCGCGUGUGUGAAGAAGGUCUUCGGAUUGUAAAGCACUUUAAGUUGGGAGGAAGGGCAGUAAGUUAAUACCUUGCUGUUUUGACGUUACCAACAGAAUAAGCACCGGCUAACUUCGUG